UACGGGGGGGGCAAGCGUUGUCCGGAAUCAUUGGGCGUAAAGCGCGUGUAGGCGGCACACUAAGUCCUGCGUGAAAUCUCGGGGCUCAACCCCGAGCGGUCGUGGGAAACUGGUUGGCUAGAGUGCGGGAGAGGAGAGUGGAAUUCCUGGUGUAGCGGUGAAAUGCGCAGAUAUCAGGAAGAACACCCAUGGCGAAGGCGGCUCUCUGGAAUGCAACUGACGCUGAGACGCGAAAGCGUGGGGAGCAAACAGG
rnacentral:rRNA from 1 species